rnacentral:rRNA from 1 species
AGAGGGAUAGCCUUUAGAAAUGAAGAUUAAUACCUCAUAGUAUUGCGAUUUGGCAUCAGGUUGUAAUUAAAGAUUUAUCGGUAAAAGAUGGCUAUGCGUCCUAUUAGUUAGUUGGUAAGGUAACGGCUUACCAAGACAUCGAUAGGUAGGGGUCCUGAGAGGGAGAUCCCCCACACUGGUACUGAGACACGGACCAGACUCCUACGGGAGGCAGCAGUGAGGAAUAUUGGACAAUGGAGGAGACUCUGAUCCAGCCAUGCCGCGUGCAGGAAGACUGCCCUAUGGGUUGUAAACUGCUUUUAUACAGGAAGAAACACUAGUACGUGUACUAGCUUGACGGUACUGUAAGAAUAAGGACCGGCUAACUCCGUGCCAGCAGCCGCGGUAAUACGGAGGGUCCGAGCGUUAUCCGGAAUCAUUGGGUUUAAAGGGUCCGCAGGCGGUCGAUUAAGUCAGAGGUGAAAUCCCAUAGCUCAACUAUGGAACUGCCUUUGAUACUGGUUGACUUGAGUCAUAUGGAAGUAGAUAGAAUGUGUAGUGUAGCGGUGAAAUGCAUAGAUAUUACACAGAAUACCGAUU